AGUUGCCAGCAUUCAGUUGGGCACUCUAAGGUGACUGCCGGCUAAAAGUCGGAGGAAGGUGGGGAUGACGUCAAAUCAUCAUGCCCCUUAUGACCUGGGCUACACACGUGCUACAAUGGGCGGUACAAAGGGUCGCGAACCCGCGAGGGGGGAGCCAAUCCCAAAAAAGCCGCUCUCAGUUCGGAUUGCAGGCUGCAACUCGCCUGCAUGAAGCCGGAAUCGCUAGUAAUCGCGGAUCAGCAUGCCCGCGGUCGAAUACGUUCCCGGGCCUU
rnacentral:rRNA from 1 species